rnacentral:misc_RNA from 1 species
GAUGAAGAACGUAGCAAAAUGCGAUAAGUAAUGUGAAUUGCAGAAUUCAGUGAAUCAUCGAAUCUUUGAACGCACAUUGCGCCCGCUGGUAUUCCGGCGGGCAUGCCUGUUCGAGCGUCAUUUCAACCCUCAAGCCCCCGGGUUUGGUGUUGGGGAUCGGCUCUGCCCUUCUGGGCGGUGUCGCCCCGAAAUACAUUGGCGGUCUCGCUGCAGCCUCCAUUGCGUAGUAGCUAACACCUCGCAACUGGAACGCGGCGCGGCCAUGCCGUAAAACCCCAACUUCUGAAUGUUGACCUCGGAUCAGGUAGGAAUACCCGCUGAACUUAAGCAUAUCAAUAAGCGGAGGA